GCUGGAGUGGUCUAGUUGGUCAUGACGACUCGUUUACACCGAGUAGGGCGCGGGUUCGACUCCCGCUUUCAGUA
rnacentral:tRNA from 1 species